GUGGUUCUAGUUUAGUGAAAAACGUUUGCUUUGCAAGCAGAAAUCCUAAGUUAAAUUCUUAGGAACUACA
rfam:Paracentrotus lividus mitochondrion, complete genome.